UACGUAGGGUGCAAGCGUUGUCCGGAAUUACUGGGCGUAAAGAGCUCGUAGGUGGUUUGUCGCGUUGUCCGUGAAAACUCACAACUCAAUUGUGGGCGUGCGGGCGAUACGGGCAGACUGGAGUACUGCAGGGGAGACUGGAAUUCCUGGUGUAGCGGUGGAAUGCGCAGAUAUCAGGAGGAACACCGGUGGCGAAGGCGACAUCCUGGACCGGUAUUGACGCUGAGGCGCGAAAGCCAGGGGAGCAAACGGG
rnacentral:rRNA from 1 species